rnacentral:tRNA from 1 species
GUCCCCAUCGUCUAGCCUGGUCAGGACAUCGGAUUUUCGAUCCGACGACAGGGGUUCAAAUCCCCUUGGGGACGCCA